UGGGGAAUUUUGGACAAUGGGCGAAAGCCUGAUCCAGCAAUGCCGCGUGUGUGAAGAAGGCCUUCGGGUUGUAAAGCACUUUUGUCCGGAAAGAAAUCCUUGGCUCUAAUACAGUCGGGGGAUGACGGUACCGGAAGAAUAAGCACCGGCUAACUACGUGCCAGCAGCCGCGGUAAUACGUAGGGUGCAAGCGUUAAUCGGAAUUACUGGGCGUAAAGCGUGCGCAGGCGGUUUGCUAAGACCGAUGUGAAAUCCCCGGGCUCAACCUGGGAACUGCAUUGGUGACUGGCAGGCUAGAGUAUGGCAGAGGGGGGUAGAAUUCCACGUGUAGCAGUGAAAUGCGUAGAGAUGUGGAGGAAUACCGAUGGCGAAGGCAGCCCCCUGGGCCAAUACUGACGCUCAUGCACGAAAGCGUGGGGAGCAAACAGGAUUAGAUACCCUGGUAGUCCACGCCCUAAACGAUGUCAACUAGUUGUUGGGGAUUCAUUUCCUUAGUAACGUAGCUAACGCGUGAAGUUGACCGCCUGGGGAGUACGGUCGCAAGAUUAAAACUCAAAUGAAUUGACGGGGUCAU
rnacentral:rRNA from 1 species